rnacentral:rRNA from 1 species
GACGAACGCUGGCGGCGUGCUUAACACAUGCAAGUCGAACGGGCCUUGUCCCCUUUUUUUUUGGGGGUGGGGUUAGUGGCGAACGGGUGAGUAACACGUGAGUAACCUGCCCCUCACUUCUGGAUAACCGCUUGAAAGGGUGGCUAAUACGGGGUGUUCUGGCCUGCUCGCAUGGGUGGGUUUGGAAAGAUUCGACCGGUUUUGGUUGUUUUGGUGGGGGAUGGGCUCGCGGUCUAUCAGCUUGUUGGUGGGGUGAUGGCCUGCCAAGGCUUUGACGGGUAGCCGGCCUGAGAGGGUGGGCGGUCACACUGGGACUGAGACACGGCCCAGACUCCUACGGGAGGCAGCAGUGGGGAAUAUUGCACAAUGGGCGCAAGCCUGAUGCAGCGACGCCGCGUGAGGGAUGGAGGCCUUCGGGUUGUGAACCUCUUUCGCCAGUGAAGAAGGUCCUGCUCUUUGUGGUGGGGUUGACGGUAGCUGGGUUAAUGAAGCGCCGGCUAACUACGUG